GAGGCCGGUGCGCUGCGCGCGGGGUGGGGCGAGGCGGGCCGAGGGGCCGGGUGGCUCCCGCCCUCGCGAGCGGUGGUGGCGGCGGCGGCGCCCGGGAGCUGCCCUGAGGCCGCCCCCGGCCCCCGCCCGCGCGUCAGCGCGCCCAGCCCGGGGCUCCGAGCUCCGCCCGCGCCCGAGGCCCCUGAGCACAGCUCCGGGCGGGCAGCCGGCGGGUCGCGAAGCGCGGGGGCGGCAGGCGGUAGGUGACCACAGAGCGGCGCUGCCCGGGCAGGGCGCGCACAGCGGGCGCCCCGCGAGCCGCCCCGAUGUGGCAGGAGGCGAUGCGGCGGCGCCGCUACCUGCGGGACCGCGCCGAGGCGGCGGCAGCAGCGGCGGCGGGCGGCGGCGAGGGGCUGCAGCGGUCCCGGGACUGGCUCUACGAGUCCUACUACUGCAUGAGCCAGCAGCACCCUCUCAUCGUCUUCCUGCUGCUCAUCGUCAUGGGCGCCUGCCUCGCCCUGCUCGCCGUCUUCUUCGCGCUCGGGCUGGAGGUAGAAGACCAUGUGGCAUUUUUAAUAACCGUUCCCACUGCCCUGGCCAUCUUCUUCGCCAUAUUCAUUCUUGUCUGCAUUGAGUCUGUGUUCAAGAAGCUUCUCCGAGUGUUCUCGCUGGUGAUCUGGAUAUGUCUGGUUGCCAUGGGAUACCUGUUCAUGUGCUUUGGAGGGACCGUGUCUGCCUGGGACCAGGUGUCAUUCUUCCUCUUCAUCAUCUUCGUGGUGUACACCAUGCUUCCCUUCAACAUGAGGGAUGCCAUCAUCGCCAGCGUCCUCACCUCUUCAUCUCAUACGAUAGUGCUGAGUGUCUACCUGUCUGCAACACCAGGGGCCAAGGAGCACCUGUUCUGGCAGAUACUGGCCAACGUGAUCAUUUUCAUCUGUGGGAACUUGGCGGGAGCUUACCAUAAGCACCUCAUGGAACUUGCCCUGCAGCAAACCUAUCGGGACACAUGUAAUUGCAUCAAGUCCCGGAUCAAGCUGGAAUUUGAAAAACGGCAGCAGGAACGACUUCUGCUUUCCCUGCUGCCUGCUCACAUUGCCAUGGAAAUGAAGGCUGAAAUCAUUCAAAGGCUACAGGGACCCAAAGCAGGACAGAUGGAAAACACGAACAACUUCCACAACCUGUAUGUCAAGCGACACACCAACGUGAGCAUAUUAUAUGCUGACAUUGUUGGCUUCACCCGCCUUGCAAGCGAUUGCUCCCCUGGUGAACUGGUCCACAUGCUGAAUGAACUCUUUGGGAAGUUUGAUCAAAUUGCAAAGGAGAAUGAGUGCAUGAGAAUUAAAAUUUUAGGAGACUGCUAUUACUGUGUUUCCGGGCUCCCGAUAUCUCUCCCUAACCAUGCCAAGAACUGUGUGAAAAUGGGACUGGAUAUGUGCGAAGCCAUAAAGAAAGUGAGGGAUGCUACUGGGGUCGAUAUCAACAUGCGCGUGGGAGUGCAUUCUGGGAACGUUCUCUGUGGUGUGAUUGGUCUCCAGAAGUGGCAGUAUGACGUGUGGUCUCAUGAUGUUACUUUGGCCAACCACAUGGAAGCUGGAGGAGUCCCUGGACGUGUUCACAUUUCCUCAGUCACUCUGGAGCACUUGAAUGGGGCUUAUAAAGUGGAGGAAGGAGACGGUGAGAUAAGAGACCCAUAUUUAAAGCAGCAUUUGGUGAAAACCUACUUUGUAAUCAACCCCAAGGGAGAAAGACGGAGUCCUCAGCAUCUCUUCAGACCUCGACACACUCUGGAUGGAGCCAAGAUGAGAGCAUCUGUCCGCAUGACCCGGUACUUGGAGUCCUGGGGAGCAGCCAAGCCAUUUGCACAUCUGCACCACAGAGAUAGCAUGACCACAGAGAAUGGGAAGAUUAGCACCACGGAUGUGCCAAUGGGUCAACAUAAUUUUCAAAAUCGCACCUUAAGAACUAAGUCACAGAAGAAGCGAUUCGAAGAAGAACUGAAUGAAAGGAUGAUCCAAGCAAUUGACGGGAUCAACGCACAAAAGCAAUGGCUCAAGUCAGAAGACAUUCAAAGAAUCUCCCUGUUUUUCUAUAACAAAAAUAUAGAAAAAGAAUAUCGAGCCACUGCACUGCCAGCAUUCAAGUACUACGUGACCUGUGCCUGCCUCAUCUUCCUCUGUAUCUUCAUUGUACAGAUUCUUGUACUGCCAAAAACGUCCAUCCUUGGCUUCUCCUUUGGAGCUGCAUUUCUCUCCCUCAUCUUCAUCCUCUUUGUCUGCUUCGCUGGACAGCUUUUGCAAUGCAGCAAAAAGGCCUCUGCCUCUCUCUUGUGGCUUUUGAAAUCAUCAGGCAUCAUAGCCAACCGCCCAUGGCCACGGAUCUCCCUCACGAUCGUCACCACAGCUAUCAUACUAACCAUGGCUGUGUUUAACAUGUUUUUCCUGAGCAACUCUGAGGAGACAACCCUUCCGACUGCCAAUGCAUCUAAUGCAAACGUUUCUGUCCCAGACAACCAGACAGCAAUUCUUCAUGCACGAAACUUGUUUUUCCUCCCGUACUUCAUAUACAGCUGCAUUCUGGGUUUGAUCUCCUGCUCCGUUUUCCUGAGGGUGAACUACGAGUUGAAAAUGUUAAUCAUGAUGGUGGCACUCGUGGGCUACAACAUCAUUCUGCUCCACACCCAUGCCCAUGUCCUGGAUGCAUACAGCCAGGUCCUGUUUCAGAGACCAGGCAUUUGGAAAGACCUGAAGACCAUGGGCUCUGUGUCCCUCUCUAUAUUCUUCAUCACGCUGCUCGUUCUGGGUAGACAGGUUAGACUUCUUGUGGAAGAACAAGUUCAAAAAAGAGCGGGAGGAGAUCGAAACCAUGGAGAACCUAAACCGAGUGCUGCUGGAGAACGUGCUACCUGCACACGUGGCUGAACACUUCCUGGCCAGGAGCCUGAAAAACGAGGAGUUGUACCACCAGUCCUACGAUUGUGUCUGUGUCAUGUUUGCCUCCAUUCCGGACUUCAAGGAAUUCUACACGGAGUCAGAUGUGAACAAGGAAGGCUUGGAAUGCCUCCGGCUCCUGAAUGAGAUCAUCGCUGACUUUGAUGAUCUGCUUUCCAAGCCGAAGUUCAGUGGCGUUGAAAAGAUCAAGACCAUUGGUAGCACAUACAUGGCAGCCACGGGUCUGAGUGCUGUACCCAGUCAGGAGCACGCCCAGGAACCCGAGCGUCAAUACAUGCACAUAGGCACCAUGGUGGAGUUUGCAUACGCCCUGGUGGGGAAACUGGAUGCCAUCAAUAAGCACUCCUUCAACGACUUCAAACUUCGAGUGGGUAUCAACCAUGGACCUGUAAUAGCUGGCGUCAUAGGGGCUCAGAAGCCACAAUAUGACAUCUGGGGCAACACUGUCAACGUCGCUAGUAGGAUGGACAGCACCGGAGUCCUGGACAAAAUACAGGUGACUGAGGAGACAAGCCUCAUCCUGCAGACGCUUGGCUACACGUGUACAUGUCGAGGUAUCAUCAACGUGAAGGGGAAAGGGGACCUGAAGACGUACUUUGUAAACACCGAGAUGUCACGGUCCCUUUCUCAGAGCAACUUGGCUUCCUGAGAAGCUGUCUCUUCCUGACAAGAAGCGUGUGCUUGCAGGAAGGUACCACGCACUUUCUGACUGCAGCCCUUCCCCUUCGUCUUGAUUACGUACGUGCUCUGUCCCACCCUCUGGAGCCCUUGCAGACUAGUUCCUGUGACCCAGUGGCAUACUGUUUGGUGUCUGCGUGUGCCCAGAUUGUCCUGCCACUUGCACUGUGCUUGCUCCUAAGCAGAAGGAGAAGGAACCGUGUCCUGGAAGGAGAGCAUUGGAAGAAGUGAUGGAGGAAGAGGUGAAGUGAACACACAUUCUUAAGGCAAUAAAACUGGGGGGUGUAUAUUAUCUUCUGGUGCAUGUUCUUCUCUGGAAAAUACGGUAGCUCGUAACCGCAUCCCUAGUCUGAUACUCAAACCCACAGUAUUUGUGAAUAAGCUGAUCCCGUCACUCAACAUGGAGUCUGUGCUCACCCACCCGUGUGUCUCAUUGCCAGUGGUCAUCCGCGGGCCUCAGCUGAGACUCGCGGCUUUUGUCACCUUGCUGUGUUGUCUUGUGGCAGCAGCACGUUGCCAUCCAUUACCAGAAUUAGUCCUCACAGCCUAGGACCGGUUUUGUACCAAACUCGUCUGAUGUUUUGAUGCCAUUUGUCUUUUGUAAGGUUAAUUCAUUAAAAGUUUUACGUACUUUGGUGUCUA